CAGCAAUUGGCUAAGGGGCUGCGGCUUUCCGAACCCUCUCUCCCGCCCGUGACUAUGAAUGGACAUCGGCGUUGUCAGUCACCCGUACUGCGCCGCAACCAGGCCCUUGGCCGGUCUUUCUGUCUUUCUUUCGUCGCUGAUUCCUACCUCAUCCUGGGCAAGUUCAGGGUAGCACUUGGGAGCAGAGGAGCUUCGGCAAGGAAAGUCAGCCCGCAUGGCCCUAACGUGACCGUCGGUUAUGGGAGGGUUUUAGGCCUAGGAGGAGCGUGGAAAGCGCACAGAGGAACUAAGGCUUUGCUACCGUUGGUCCAGGCGGACUGUGAGCCUCCAGUUCAAAAGCUGGACAGAGUUGGCGGCAGCGAAAACCGAGGAAUCCCAGCUGCGUCCUUAUCUUCUUCUUCCCACCCCAGGUCAAAGGUAGAACCUGAGCCACUGCCUCUCGGGUGGGACGAAUGGAAAAGGUCAUAAGAUCUCGUUGCCAGUCGCUCGAGACGCCCAGCGGCGUCCUGGCGCGGGUCACACAGCACCCUGUAACAGGCCUUCUUGGGUCUUCGCCACUGUGCCGCGUUCCCUGCCCCCGUCUCCCUCCCCAAGCCCUGGAUCCCCGGUCGGUCGCAGCCACAGGUUGCUGCACCCCGGUGCGCGGCGCCCCCCGCCGCGCAGCCUCCGCCGGGAGUUGGAACCCAACAUCUGUGUGCACAAUGCGCUCUCCGAGGCCCACAGCUGCAGGCACAAGGGGAAGAAAGGAAGGAGCGGGGGAGCAGAUCCUGUCACACGCAGAUGACAGUCUGCAGAGGGCUCUUUAGUGUCUCCUUUUCUGGAAGCCCUGGCGCCCCCCUCCCAGUUCCCUCUCCUGCCGCCUCCCCAUUGUUCCUAGCGCUCCGGACAGCUGGAGACGACGACCACACCACCCGCCGCUCUCCCUCCGCUCCCCUCCCGCCGCUCGCCAGGCGUCCCCUCUGGCAAUCCGCGGUCCCCACCAGGGCAGGGCCAGGCGGGGAUGCACCGCCUCGUACCCCACCCCCGGCUCCGCCCCGACCUGCUGGUGCCGGAGCUUGGCCUUCGUGCACCUCUCCGGUUGUCCGCCCCUGGCGGAGUCGGCGGGCAAGGCCCCUGGCAGGGCUUUGAGAAGAGAUCCAGUCCUGCGGCGCGCUCCGGGGACUCCACUUUCACUUGUGUUUCUUGUUUUUACCGGGCCGGGAAGGCGCGCUUCGCAGAGCCCCAGGGCACGCGGUGCUGCAUGGGCCACGGUCCACGGAGGAUCCUACUUUCAUGUCAAAGCACCACACUAGAUUAGACCUGAACUGAAAAACCCAGUCUUUCCAACAAGUGGAGGAAGGAUGGGCUCGGAGGUGGCUCAAUGGCAGAAAAAAAUAUAUCUUUUAAUUCAUGAAAACACUCUGGAAAAGUUUCCUGGCAGUCAUGACUCAGCUAUCUUGAAGAAUGAAUAAUGACGUUAGCUUUGUUAUUUUCUAAUGUUUUGGUCAGGAGGCCCUGGACUUCAUUUAAUAAUAAAUAUGAAUUUGUAUAAUUUUGAUAACAUUUCAGAAAAAUUUCAACACGAUACAAAACAUUUCUGAAACAUGUUGAUUGAAAUCAUUUAUAUAUGACAAAUGAGCACAUGAUUCACACAGAAGUUAGGGUUGCUUGACUAAUGAAUAAAAAAAUCUGGCAUUUAUAGAAUUUCCCAAGACUCACAAAAUGCCUAAACAAUAUAAGUAGUUUAAAAUGAUUUGCCGAUCCCUGCUAAUUCUUCUUUUUAAGUGUGCUUCACAUUUGUCAUGUGUAAAAACUAAUGUGCUGUGAUAAGAAUCUCAUUUUCAAUUUAGGGAACAAUGGACUGGUUGGUAGAGAUCACACAUUUCAGUGAUUAGAAUAAAUCUCCAGUGUUCUAAAUUAUCAAAGAAAACCUAUUUUUAAACAAAAUAGAGAAUGGCUGUUAUGGAAAAUACGAUUAUUAUAAAGCAAAAUACUUUUAGGAACUUAAAAUAUAUGGUAAGGUAGAAAAUAUUUUUUAAAAACCUUUUAAAAACCUGCUUCAUUUCAUAAAAUUCUAAGCCGAUUUUGUUUUUAAAAUAAAUGCUAAUUUAUAUAACUACAGUUCACCAACUAUAUUUCAAAUACUUUGGAUUUGGAAAUCCAUUUAUAAGAAUGAUUUAAAAUUAUAAUUUAAAAAUAGAACUAGAUCUUUGUAAACAUCGUAGCACUCUUCAGAUAGCUACUAAAGAGAAUAACAUUUUGCAGUACCAAGGAGUGAAUGAUGGGAAGCAAAGUGUUUCAUUUGGCCACCCCCCUAGUGACAUGCAGUAAUCAGCCCUGAGGAAACUUAAAAAGGUACUGGUAAGGUCCGUAUGGAAUCUGAAAUCUGUCAGUUGUCAGUAAAUAGCUAUUUUUAAGGCCUCUAUCCGGGUGAACAUUAGAUGGCAGUGAGAAGUCUCCCCUCCCUGUGGGAGAAGCCAGCCCACCACAGCUGCACUGCCGCAUCUUGGAGGAGUCCUUGCCAUGCACCCUGCAGCCCUUGACCCAAGUUUAACCCAAGUUUAUCCCUCUGUGCCGUUGGUUCCCAGCCUGGGAAGAGUCCUGGCGUAAGGACUCUUACGCCAGAAUAUACUGCUAUCAAACCAAGGUCUUAGCAUUAAAGUUCACAGGAAUUGAAAAAUACUGAAUUUAUUUGCUCAAAUAUUUCACUUCAUUAAAAACACGAAGUUUUCAUUCAAAAAAGAAAAAUGCAAGCCACUUUUUUGUUUUAAAAAGAAUUAUCAGAAUCACCUUGCUUUUAUCAGCAUUCAAGUUGGCUCAUAUUCUGAAUGAUCUAAAGUUUUUGAAAUCUCCAAAUAGUAACUCUAUUAUGAGAUAUAGUUGCUGUUCCCCCAGUGGCUUAACAUGAUAACAUGAAACCACAUCCUUAAAAACCAAAAAUGUACUUUAACAUAGAUUUAUGCUUGAUAGGAUGGUCAAAAAAGUCCAGAUUUUUGGACUUUCUUUUUCAAACUUUGACACAAUUCAAAGGACAAGAAAAGUCUCAACACCUUGUGAUUACUAUUACUAGUUUUGUCCGUUGACCACAGUAUUCUAAAAACUACCGCUCACUCUGGAAGGCUGAGGCAGGAGGAUUACAAGUUCCAGCCUAACGUGGGCAACUUAGAGACUAUGAGACCUUGCCCCAAAAUAAAAAAUAGAAAAGGGCUGGGGAUGCAGCUCUGUGCAAAGGCCCCGGGUUCAAUUCCCAGGUCCACAAAACCAACCAACAACAGGAAGAAAAAAAACCCCAUACACAACCACUGUUCAUGGGGACAGUAUUUAUAAACAGAACCAUCUUCCUGGAGUUCCUCUACUUUUCAGUCUACCUCCUUGUAAAGAUCUAGUUUUUAUUAUUUACAAAACAGUGUUACAAAAGGUGUGCUUAAGCACUGAUGUUCAGCGUAGUGCGUGUUUUAUGUUUGUGGACAGACAUAGUUCAGCUAGAAUUCCUUGACCGAACACUGUGAGACUCAUCCCCAUGCGGCAAGAAGCUGACUUUUUUGAAAGUGGUUAAAUGGUGCCCUUGUGAUCCAGUGAAGGGAAACAAGGUGCUAUGUGGAGAGUUUCCAGGUAUCUCUGUUUUUCAGUUAAAAGCUCUUUCGUGCAUUUUGUCACUUACAAGUUGCAGGUCCAUUAUAGUUGUCUAAAAACAGCUUUUCCCUUGAAUUGCUCUGAAUUAAAAGUAGAACAACAGUUCAGGUAAACGUUUGUUUCACAAUUACAUAACUCGGCGAUGUUUGCAUAGACUCUCAGAAAGGUGCCAAUGUAUAUUUUAAUGCCUGAAGACAGGCUCUGAUGAAAUGAAAGAAUGGCCGCUGCCUACCGAGCUUGCCUCUGUACUGGACUCUGAGGAAAGGAAUCCCUAUAAAGUGCCGUCUCCUGACUAUAUUGCAAGUGGGUUUGUAAGCAUUCAGACUGAACAUGAACGAAGACUCAGAGCAACCAGUUGCCUGGUGUGGAGAAGACACAGAGCUCACCAUCACCCUAUAGAGUGAGUCUCGGUUGUCCAGAGCUCUGUACAAAUUCACUCGCAGCUGCUAGAGCCAGUCGAAUGGAAACAGCAGCUCCUCAUCUACAGACUCAGUCUGACAUGUGCUGCUAUCUACGAGGGAUGCUGGGUGUGGACGAUGCUGUGUGCCGUGCACUCUGACGCGCUUGCAGGCCGUCUCCUUGGCGCAUACGCCCUUCAGCUUUGCCCAGUCAGUUCAGAGAUUCCCAUCUGUAAUCAUCUCCACAGGCACUCCAUCUAAACUGGAAGUCUAAUCUCAUGGCUUUAAAUCGUUCUUUGCUUCUGAUUCCCCCAAACUGGAUAACUUCACUCGAUCACCCCUUGCUUUCUCUGUCCUUUUCUCCAGUUACUUUUGAGAAUUAAAAAAAAAUAUAAACUACCUUUUAAAAGAUCCCUUCCUCCCACUGAGAAUAUGUUUUUAAAAGGCCAUUUCAACAGAUUAGUGCUCUGAGUCUGGUAAGCUGUGUGGGGUGGCAGGGCAAGGCCUACCCUUCUGGGAUGCAUGGGGAGUGGCGUCACCUCUGGAACCUUUACUUUUCCUCUGUUGGGUUCCCAGUUUCCAUGGCGACAAUCUCUCUGUCCUCAAUGUCCAUCUCUAGGGUGAAGCUUGAGGCUUUCCUGUCCUUUGUCCUUGCCCCCCACCAGAUUCUGCCACUUUCUCAGGGUGUCACUUUGUCUGUCCCCAUUCCAAGCCCCACCUGUGUUAAGGGCAUUGGCCCAGGUGGCCCUGAUGACUCCUCCUGCAUCCACUUAGCUGGCUUCCUCCCUCCCUGAGAAUUCAGCACCUCUCCCUGACCUUCAGAGUGUCCCUGCCCCUUGUGUCCCUAUAUGCACUGCAGUCCUUAUCCCUGAUCGACUGCUCCAAAGUUAUUACAUGCAAAAGCCUAGCAAUAAACAAUUCACAAGUCUUCAGUUAUGCACUUGCCUGCUGCCCAACCUGCCCUGCCCUAGAUGGGAAUCAUGCCUGGACCCCCUGGCCAAGAUGUCUACAUGGCCUGCCUGGUUAGUCACUCUGAGCCAUCUCUGCUACCGGAUCAGCUGCUACAGAACCACAAGGCUUGUGUUCAAGUGACCUUUAUACUUAAUGACAGGCCCCAGUGCAUGAGAGCAGCAAUUCACGUAAAGCUUUUCUUUAUGACAUAAACACUCAGUCAUAAGAUCCAUAUUUUUGAAAAUGUUUAUGUACUUCACCUCUCAAUAAUUGAAAGAGAUGUUUUCAAAUCAUCUACUAUCAUGAUGAAUGUUUUGACUUCUUC
rnacentral:lncRNA from 1 species